CUCGUAGGUGGCCAACUAAGUCGGACGUGAAAUCCCUCGGCUUAACCGGGGAACUGCGUCCGAUACUGGUUGGCUUGAGUUUGGGAGAGGGAUGCGGAAUUCCAGGUGUAGCGGUGAAAUGCGUAGAUAUCUGGAGGAACACCGGUGGCGAAGGCGGCAUCCUGGACCAAUACUGACGCUGAGGAGCGAAAGCCAGGGGGAGCAAAACGG
rnacentral:rRNA from 1 species